rnacentral:lncRNA from 10 species
ACUAUGAGAGAAUACAGGGUCUAAUCUCCAGUGUACAUGUCAAAAAGGGGAAUGGGCUGCAGCAUCUAGAGAGGAGACCAUCCUGUAGACCCAUCCUGUUGUUUUACAAAGUGUGGGAAACCACUGAUGAGGUAGGUGUGUUUUGGGUGGAGAAGGAAAGGCAGGGUAGAAGAGAGCGGAAUCCAGCCAGGCAGCCCCCAAUGGAAGAAUAUUCAACUCUAGCUCAACGUGGGGAAGGUAAUGACUUUGAUCCUUCCAGUUACCUUUUCUAGAGGGAAUAUGGAAAGAAUCCAGAGUGGACAAGGGCAGCCUCACAUUAGGACCCCAUCCAAUGGGCAUAUCUGUCACUUUCCAGCACACCAGGACUCUAGGGCGCCAGGAUGGGCAUAGCUGUGGCAGAGGUGAGAGGCAGCCUGUGGGAGGCUGUGAGCCCAGGUGGCCACCUGGUCCUUAUAGCCAUGAGGUUUGCAGGCAGUGCCUCAAGCAUCACAGCAGCUGCAGUGCAGGCACCUGGCUGUGGACAACCUCAUGGGGGUGGCGAGCAGGUGGCCCAAGGUGCCAGGGCCAGCAUGGCAUCCGCAGGGUCAGCUAGUCUUCAGUGCUGCCAAGAAGAGUUUAUGAGCUGCCUCUCCUCUGCUACCAGGAAACAGCCUGAUGGGGUGCGUAGGGACUGAAGUUUCCACAAUUAGCUGGAGGAAGAGGAGAUCUUGAGAAACAGUGGUAAUUUCGCUGUAAUUGUAUGUGUGCCACUCCCCGGCCCUGAAGGGCAUGAGCAAGAAAGACUGAAAGUUGUGAAAUGUACCAGGGAAGACACUGCGGUUCUGUGGUGACGGUGAAAAUGAACGUCUCAAAAGCUGGGUGAUGGCUCAGCUGGACCCAGCAUGUUAGCAACCCGUGUUUGAACAGAAGGAAAUGAAAAAUAAAGUAGAAGGACAAGGGAAGGAAAUUGGGAUCUCUUUUCAUGGAGGCACAGAAUGAAAUGAGGUCUCACCAUAUUGCCCAGGCUGGAGUGCAGUGGCUAUUCACAGGCACGAGCACAGCAUGCUACAGUCUCAAGCCUCCCGAGUAGCUAGGACUACAGAGAAAGGGGCUCACUGUGUCACCCAGGCUGGAAUGCAGUGGCACAAUCACAGCUCCCUGCAGCCUCAAACUCCUGGGAUCAAGCAAUCCUCCCCACUGAGCCUCCGGAGUAGCUGGGACUACAGAGUUAAAGAAGACUUGAAAGAAGGGGAUGUGAGUGGCAGGAAAAUCCCCAGUGACCGGCCCUGAACCUUCUGCCAGCGCAGCUCACCUCCUCCCCAAAUGCCUCCCAAUAGGAUCUCAGCCCUAAACAAGCACAGGGCGUGGGGUGGUACAGAUGAUGAUGUAGCUGCUUCUGAGAUGCCCCUGGGCGCUGCUGGAGCUGAGCCCUGGGACUGGAAUGACUUUUGCCCGCUGCCCUCAAAAUUCCCACAGGCCACACCGCUACCACCUCUUGGGUAAAGUAGGAGGGACACAUCUCCACCACCAUCCAAAUUGUUACCUAAUGAGGAAUUUUGCCAGGAACUACUUACAGCCCAAUGGAGCCAGGCUGGGUAUUUCCAGGACAUGAGCCAUUUUCUCUGUGCCCACUAAACAGGGUGCAGGUCCCUGAAGCCCUCAGGGAAGCUGCAAAGGUUACUGGGGUCGGCUCUGGGGCAACAGCUGACCUCUUAGCUCCCACUGCAGGCGUAGGAACCUCCAGGACAGCCUGUGGGGGUGGUGAGUCUGCAAAGCUGGCUGGCUAAUGAGGGUGCAGUGCUGGUAGUGUCUGCCUUAUGCUUUUUUUUUUUUUUUUUUUUCUUUUGGAGACGGAGUCUCGCUCUAUCGCCCAGGCUGGAGUGCAGUGGUGAGAUCUCGGCUCACUGCAAACUCCACCUCCCAGGUUCACGCCAUUCUCCUGCCUCAGCCUCCCGAGUAGCUGGGACUACAGGCGCCCGCCACAAUGCCCGGCUAAUUUUUUUUUUUUUUGUAUUUUUAGUAGAGACGGGUUUUCACCGUGUUAGCCAGGAUGGUCUUGAUUUCCUGACCUCGUGAUCCGCCCACCUCAGCCUCCCAAAGUGCUGGGAUUACAGGCUUGAGCCACCGCGCCCGGCCGGUUGCCUUAUGCUUUAAUAUUAAUCAUAUGGUAUGAACACAUGCAAAGCUAGCUGGUUUUACUGUUUAGGAAAGUAGAUUUAAUUUCUAUGUGAUCUGGAUUAUCACCAUUAUUAUUUCCUUGGUAUAGAAAUUGCUUUUUACUGCUUGUGUUUUUCUAAAAUUAUAUUCUCCCUCUGACCAAGGCAAGUAAUAAAGGGCAGAUGACUCGGGGAGGGGAGGGGAAUAGGAAAAAAAUCAUGGGAGAUAUGCUUCAAAACCAAUAGAGAGUUUUUCUGUUUUUAAUUUCAG